GAUGAACGCUGGCGGCGUGCCUAAUACAUGCAAGUCGAGCGAAGCGGGGACGGGUGAGUAACACGUGGAUAACCUCCUAUAAGACUGGGAUAACUUCGGGAAACCGGAGCUAAACCGGAUGCUUAUAGAUGGAUCCGCCUUGCAUUAGCUAGUUGGUAAGGUAACGGCUUACCAAGGCAACGAUCCAUAUCCGACCUUAGCGGCUGAGCGGCCCCACUGGAACUCAGACACGGUCAAGACUCCUACGGUAGGCAGUCGUAGGGAAUCUUCCGCAAUGGGCGCAAGCCUGACGGAGCAAUGCCGCGUGAGUGAUGAAGGUCUUCGGAUCGUAAAACUCUGUUAUUAGGGAAGCGGUACCUAAUCAGAAAGCCACGGCUAACUACGUGCCAGCAGCCGCGGUAAUUC
rnacentral:rRNA from 1 species